UACGAAGGGUGCAAGCGUUGCUCGGAAUUAUUGGGCGUAAAGGGUAGGUAGGUGGUUACGUAUGUCUGGGGUGAAAUCCCUGAGCUCAACUCAGGAAGUGCCUUGGAAACGGCGUAACUAGAGUGCUAGAGAGGUUCGUAGAAUUCCCAGUCGUAGCGGUGAAAUUCGUAGAUAUCGGGAGGAACACCAGUGGCGAGGCGGCGAUCUGGAAGAUACUGACGCUGAGGUGCGAAAGCGUGGGGAGCAAACAGG
rnacentral:rRNA from 1 species